CAAGUACUCCCUCCGUCCGAAAAUACUUGUCAUCAAAAUGGAUAAAAAAGAUGUAUCUAGAACUAAUAUACAUCUAGAUACAUCCCCUUUUAUUCAUUUUGAUGACAAGUAUUUCCGGACGGAGGGAGUACUAC
rfam:Triticum aestivum genome assembly, contig: Triticum_aestivum_CS42_TGACv1_scaffold_342522_4DL